GUGAGGAAUAUUGGUCAAUGGGCGAGAGCCUGAACCAGCCAAGUCGCGUGAAGGAAGAAGGAUCUAUGGUUCGUAAACUUCUUUUGCAGGGGAAUAAAGUGCGGGACGUGUCCUGUUUUGUAUGUACCCUGAGAAUAAGGAUCGGCUAACUCCGUGCCAGCAGCCGCGGUAAUACGGAGGAUCCGAGCGUUAUCCGGAUUUAUUGGGUUUAAAGGGUGCGUAGGUGGAUUGAUAAGUCAGCGGUGAAAGUUUGCAGCUUAACUGGAAAGAUGCCGUUGAAACUGGCGGACUUGAGUGUAAAUGAGGUAGGCGGAAUGCGUGGUGAAGCGGUGAAAUGCAUAGAUAUCACGCAGAACUCCGAUUGCGAAGGCAGCUUACUAAGCUACAACUGACACUGAAGCACGAAAGCGUGGGGAUCAAACAGGAUUAGAAACCCCAGUAGUCC
rnacentral:rRNA from 1 species